AUGCAAGUCGAGCGGUAACAGGAAGAAAGCUUGCUUUCUUCGCUGACGAGCGGCGGACGGGUGAGUAAUGCCUGGGAAUAUACCCUGAUGUGGGGGAUAACUAUUGGAAACGAUAGCUAAUACCGCAUAAUCUCUUCGGAGCAAAGAGGGGGACCUUCGGGCCUCUCGCGUCAGGAUUAGCCCAGGUGGGAUUAGCUAGUUGGUGGGGUAAUGGCUCACCAAGGCGACGAUCCCUAGCUGGUCUGAGAGGAUGAUCAGCCACACUGGAACUGAGACACGGUCCAGACUCCUACGGGAGGCAGCAGUGGGGAAUAUUGCACAAUGGGGGAAACCCUGAUGCAGCCAUGCCGCGUGUAUGAAGAAGGCCUUCGGGUUGUAAAGUACUUUCAGUUGUGAGGAAGGCAGUUAAGUUAAUAGCUUGGCUGUUUGACGUUAGCAACAGAAGAAGCACCGGCUAACUCCGUGCCAGCAGCCGCGGUAAUACGGAGGGUGCGAGCGUUAAUCGGAAUUACUGGGCGUAAAGCGCAUGCAGGCGGUCUGUUAAGCAAGAUGUGAAAGCCCGGGGCUCAACCUCGGAACAGCAUUUUGAACUGGCAGACUAGAGUCUUGUAGAGGGGGGUAGAAUUUCA
rnacentral:rRNA from 1 species